ensembl:lncRNA
UGUCACCCCAAAUGAGGCAUCAGCUGCCUUCAAAAGGCUCAGUGCACAGUGUUUACCGCUUUCCUCGGACCCGCUUUUGAUUUUACGACUUUUCAGCACCCACCUCCCAUACCCACUAGUGCGUGCCACCUCAGCUAUCCAAAGCAGUGGGAAGAAAGGACAGCACAUGGCUUCGAGCCUGGUAUGGGACAGGCAUGGAAUAAAGGUGGCCUUCCGUCUUCCUCAAACAAAUGAUCUGUCCUGGAGACAGCACGCUAUGGAGCGUAUGGUUAAGCAAGGGAUUGGGGGGACAUGAGACAUGUUGAACUGCAAGAUUCCACUCCUGACGCCAGAAUUUGUCAAGAGGACCGCAUUGUUGUUUCUCACUGAGGCAUAGGACUGACUGCGGGCCAUUGUUUCUCCAGCUCAAGUGGGCCUGUCUGGUUCGUGUUGGAAGAAUAGGGGCGACAUGCGUGAGUUCCCAAGUAUAAAGGAACUACCGGUUCUAGAAAGACAC